GACGAACGCUGGCGGCGUGCUUAACACAUGCAAGUCGAACGGAAAGGCCCCUUUGGGGGUACUCGAGUGGCGAACGGGUGAGUAACACGUGAGUAACCUGCCCUUGACUUCGGGAUAACUUCAGGAAACUGGGGCUAAUACCAGAUAGGAAUCCUUGCUGCAUGGUGGGGGUUGGAAAGCUUCGGCGGUUUUGGAUGGACUCGCGGCUUAUCAGCUUGUUGGUGGGGUAGUGGCUUACCAAGGCUUUGACGGGUAGCCGGCCUGAGAGGGCGACCGGCCACAUUGGGACUGAGAUACGGCCCAGACUCCUACGGGAGGCAGCAGUGGGGAAUAUUGCACAAUGGGCGGAAGCCUGAUGCAGCAACGCCGCGGGCGGGAUGACGGCCUUCGGGUUGUAAACCGCUUUCAGCAGGGGCGAAGCUUGUGGUGACGGUACCUGCAGAAGAAGCACCGGCUAACUACGUG
rnacentral:rRNA from 1 species